rfam:Brachypodium distachyon strain Bd21 chromosome 5, whole genome shotgun sequence.
CAAGUACUCCUUUCGUCCCAUAUUAAGUGACUCAAAUUUGCCCAAAUAUUAAUGUAUCUAUACCUACAAAACGUCUAGAUACAUGUAAUAAAAAGUCACUUGAUAUGAGACGGAGGGAGUAAUAG